AACGAACGCUGGCGGCAUGCCUAACACAUGCAAGUCGAACGAGACCUUCGGGUCUAGUGGCGCACGGGUGCGUAACGCGUGGGAACCUGCCCUUAGGUUCGGAAUAACUCCCCGAAAGGGGUGCUAAUACCGGAUAAUGUCUUCGGACCAAAGAUUUAUCGCCUUUGGAUGGGCCCGCGUUGGAUUAGCUAGUUGGUAGGGUAAAAGCCUACCAAGGCGACGAUCCAUAGCUGGUCUGAGAGGAUGAUCAGCCACACUGGGACUGAGACACGGCCCAGACUCCUAGGGGGGGCAGCAGGGGGGAAUUUUGGACAAGGGGGGAAAGCCUGAUCCAGCAAUGCCGGGUGGGUGAUGAAGGCCUUGGGGUUGUAAAGCUCUUUUACCCGGGAUGAUAAUGGCAGGACCGGGAGAAAAAGCCCCGGCUAACCCCGU
rnacentral:rRNA from 1 species